CGGGAUGUAGCUCAGCUUGGUAGAGCACUUGCAUGGGGUGCAAGGGGUCGCAGGUUCAAUUCCUGUCAUCCCGA
rnacentral:tRNA from 2 species